AGUGCACUUCUGUACAUAUGCAGACGGCAGUCUUGAAAAGAUAGAGUAACAUGCAUUCAGGGUGAAGAAACUAGUUGUCCAUAAGUAAGAUUUUACUUUUACUACUAUUAUUAUUAUCUCCUGAGAAUCUGUGCUUUAAGGCAAACACGUUUAGAAUGGAACUGCAGAAUACGAAACUCGACAUGCAAGUCUUCGAAAGAGCACUUCGAAAACAGUUGCUCAACAAGAAUGUAAUUGUUUUGAAAGUUACGGAGAACAGUUUGUCGGAAAAAGGAUUAAACUUUCUCAGUGAUCUGUACAAGGUGGACGUUCGAUACAAAAUUGUUACAAAAAAUAACAAUGAGAUCGCUGAAUCUGAAAAGACGAGCAGUAUGUUCAUCAAAGUUGAACCGUCGAAUAAACUGUCAAAAGAUAUGUGCCAACAACAAAGCUUCUGUCUAACCGAGAUGAGAAUUUUACGCGACGUUCUGCCACAAAUCGAAGAGCUCGUUGGUUGUCAAUUUGGCCCGAAAUUGUACUACUCUCUCGAGAAUCCAACGGUCCUUAUUAUGGAAAAUUUACUAGAAAGAGGAUUCUUCAUGAAAGAUCGUCAGAAAGGGUUGCCGUUCGAACAUUGCCGGUUAGUUGUAGAACGAAUUGCAAAAUUACACGCUGGAUCUGUUGCGUUUUUUGAAAAGGAUCCGAAAUUAAUCGAAUCUUUUAAAGACGGCGGCAUAACAACGAUUAAAUGUCCGAGGUCCUAUUUUCGGUUGAUGGAAGUAAGUCUUUUGCGAAUAGCUGACCAGGUGCGAAAAUGGUCGAACGGAGAAUACUCGGCUGCGGCGGAUAAAUUGCUUAAAUUGGAGAAAACUAUAGCCGAGCGGUGCAUGGAUGUGUACAAUUACGACGAGGAUGAAUUCUGCGUGCUGAAUCACGGAGAUUGUUGGACUAACAAUGAGAUGUUUGUAGAAAAUGAAAACGGUGAACCAACUGAUUUUUUAUUGGUUGAUUAUCAAAUGGCUGUUUAUAGUUCUCCAGCUAUCGACCUCAUAUAUUUUCUGAACAUUUGCCCCGAGUUUGAAAUUAAAUACGACAACGACGACUAUUUUCUGACACAUUAUCUGAAUACCUUAAGUGAUACUAUGAAAAGUAUUGGCUGCAAAAAGAAGCCACCAACGAUGGAGGAACUGAAGAAAGCAAUAGACAAAAGAAGAAUAUACACGGUGUUUUCUGGUAUUAUACUUUGCUUGCGCAUGAUAGCAAAUAAAGAAGAUACCGAAGAUUUUAACGAGGUGUUUGGCCAGCUAUCGGGUGAAACUAAAAUCAAUGUGUUCAAGAAUCCAGAUGCUAUUAAAUUGGCGCAGAAGAUGAUUCCGAUUAUGAAUGAAAGGGGUUACCUUGAUUAAUGAUGAUAGAGAAUUAAGUGAAAUCAAGAUUAUUACUAAUAUUACUAUAAUAUUACUAACAUUAGAUAUAAUAAUAAUAAUAAUAUAUAAUAAUAAAUAUUAGAUAUAAUAUUAGAUGAAAUAUAGUAUUACUAAUAUUAGAUAAAAUUCUUUUAUUUUUUUGUUAUACAUUUUGUGAAACAAAAUAAUACGUAUGCAAUAAUAAAUUUUAAGCUUCGAGAUUCUAUGCUGUUUAAGAAGUUCAACGACAUUAUACACAUAAUUGUCAGCAUCGGCACAGUUUCGUUAAACCGGAACGUUUUCUCGGGAGCGAGGAAAAAGUUAAGCUGCAGAUCGGCACAGUCGAUGAACUUUCGAAAGGAUCCUUCGAAGCAGAACACGCGCGUCCUUGGCGGUCAGACGGUAGCAAUUGAUUUAUUGUAGGGCAGUAAAGCAGUAGGCUAAAAGGUUCCUGAAUGCGUCGCCUCGGUAACCUACAUCGUGAACAGAGAAAUUGUUGUGGCAAGCCUCGAUGGGGUGGCUUUUGCCUCGAGCUGAAUCUCUGCUACCGGGCAAGGAGAAACGCGGGUGGUGAACAGGAGGAGUCUGCUUGCCUCGAGAGAGUUCCAUGUUCCGUCGUACGGAGCUACAAUUUGCCGCGUCGACGUCUCACAGCAGUUUCUCUCAUUUAGUCUCAAAGUUGGUCACCAACGAGACUUCCUUUUAUUGUUUGCGUUGACCUGGAAGAUGCACGAUGCUGACUGCAUGCCGGGGAGGUGUUCCGUUUUAGCGUGUGUUGGACAACUUAUUUGUCAACGUCCCCUUCCUGAAUAACGCCUGUUUCUUACGCGUCCUCGGGAAUAAAAAAACCUGGUGCCAACCCUGGGAAUAGUCUUCGUCUUAGGUAAGGUGCGAUUGAUAAAUUUCGAACUUCCACAUUUUUUAAGCCAGUCGGAAUUGUGUAACGAGAUAAAUGUACUCUUUACAUCGCCGGUAAACAGGUGAAAAGAAACUUCUACGGGUGAAAGUGAGGAAAGAUUUUUUUGGUGGCAUUGAAUAACUUGGGUUAACAAAUAAAAUUGAUCCUCUGACA